rnacentral:rRNA from 1 species
UACAGAGGGGGCAAGCGUUGUUCGGAAUCACUGGGCGUAAAGGGCGUGUAGGCGGUCCGCUAAGUCUGAUGUGAAAGCCCGGGGCUCACCCCCGGAAGUGCAUUGGAAACUGGCGGACUCGAGUCCCGGAGAGGAAGGUGGAAUUCCUGGUGUAGCGGUGAAAUGCGUAGAUAUCAGGAGGAAUACCGGUGGCGAAGGCGGCCUUCUGGACGGUGACUGACGCUGAGACGCGAAAGCGUGGGGAGCAAACAGG